rnacentral:rRNA from 1 species
GACGAACGCUGGCGGCGUGCUUAACACAUGCAAGUCGAACGGAAAGGCCCUGCUUUUGUGGGGUGCUCGAGUGGCGAACGGGUGAGUAACACGUGAGUAACCUUCCCUUGACUUUGGGAUAACUUCAGGCAACUGGGGCUAAUACCGGAUAGGAGCUCCUGCUGCAUGGUGGGGGUUGGAAAGUUUCGGCGGUUGGGGAUGGACUCGGGGCUUAUCAGCUUGUUGGUGGGGUAGUGGCUUACCAAGGCUUUGACGGGUAGCCGGCCUGAGAGGGCGAACAGCGACAUUAGGACUGAGAUACGGCCCAGACUCCUACGGGAGGCAGCAGUGGGGAGUAUUGCACAAUGGGGGGAAGCCUGAUGCAGCAACGCCGCGUGCGUGAUGACGGCCUUCGGGUUGUAAACCGCUUUCGCCUGUGACGAAGCGUGAGUGACGGUAAUGGGUAAAGAAGCACCGGCUAACUACGUG